rnacentral:lncRNA from 1 species
UCGUCCACAUCGAAAGCCAAGCAAGAGCGCCAGUCCUCCAUGCACGUGCACCAGGAAAUGACAUGGAUGCCAUCGCUGAAGCGCACGGUCUUGAAGGUAACGAGCUCAUAGCUCCCCUUCGGGCCAGACGGCACGCAGUACACGGUUUUUGUGCGUGUCCCUGCGACAGGCUUUGGCGGCCAGCUUUCAUCGGGCGAGCACUGUUGCUGAAGCCACGCUGCAAAUGUAGUAAGUUUUAUCCCGUCAGCUGCCCGCCGCGGGCAUCCAGAGACGGCGCAGCAUGAGAACUUUACAUCGUUCUCAUCUGCCGCGAGACGCGUGUAGUUGCAGGGCGACUGGACAUUGCUACGAAUACUAUCAGCACGUAGCCCAGGAGAGUCCGCAGCGUCAGGGAUGUCAACAGGUUCAGCUUGUGGCUCUGCUGGGAUUGAUGCGCCCCUUGCAGCUGCUAGUGCGUUAUCCUGAGCUGGCUGGUGUUUUAGAUGCUGCUGUUGCUGCUGCUGUUGUUGUUCUUGUUCGUGCUGCAGGACCUGGCCAGCUGAGCGGUCUACUAUGCGCCCGUAAGCACGUUGACCAGUUGGAAGCCUGGUGUGAACACGCAACACGUUCUGGCCGAUUUUUUU